GUGCACUGUCCCUUUUGCACAUAGUGCUGCAAUGUAAAGCAUUGCAGUUCCAUAGAAACUGUGAUGUUUACGUUGCAGCUCUAAGUCUGCCUCCAGUGGCUGUCUAGAGGGGUUCUAGGAUUGAAACGGACCUUUUGUUGAUUCAAUGCUUUCCUAUGGGGGGGGUGUCUAAUGCACACACAGCAUUUGCCGCGUUAGAGACCGCUCGUCGCGGGAUUACGGAGGGGGCGGAGCUGGG